rnacentral:rRNA from 1 species
UACGUAGGGUGCAAGCGUUAAUCGGAAUUACUGGGCGUAAAGCGUGCGCAGGCGGUGAGGUAAGUCAGAUGUGAAAUCCCCGGGCUCAACCUGGGAACUGCAUUUGUGACUGCAUCGCUGGAGUGCGGCAGAGGGGGAUGGAAUUCCGCGUGUAGCAGUGAAAUGCGUAGAUAUGCGGAGGAACACCGAUGGCGAAGGCAAUCCCCUGGGCCUGCACUGACGCUCAUGCACGAAAGCGUGGGGAGCAAACAGG